rnacentral:lncRNA from 1 species
CAGGACUGGCCUGUCAUGAAAUGUCAUAAUCAGCUGAUAUCGCUGGAACUUCCACACCUGGUUGGAUAUUGAUUUUACUUCAAAGAAGGUUGACACAUCUAAAAGAAUCUUUGUUUCCAACUGGACUGACUCAUUGAGAGGAAACCUUCACUGCACCUCACCAGUGCAGACAGAAGACCUGGAGGCAGGACGGGAGGCAUUUUAUACUUCAGCACGAUAUGGGCCCUGACUUUUCAUUUUCUACAUGGAGACAUAUUGAUCCUGCCUCCCAAGCCUAUAAGCUUUACCAGGAGAGAGGCAGGCCCCACCCCAAGAUCCACUAUCCACUCUUUGAAGAAAGAUUAGAGCCAUGUUCUCAGACUUUGGGCUGCAUCCUAAUCCCUGCGAAGCUGCACAAUGUGUGAUGACUCCACCCUCCACCCGAUCCAGAGGGUCUGGGGUGAGACCCAAGGCUGAGAGGCCUCGAUGGCUUCCUGGCCCCAUCUCCGGCAGCAGCCUCUAUGGCUGGGCUCUCCUGCAGGCUGGGUGCACCCCAGGCCCUCAGAUGGUUCUAACCAGAAUCGAUGGGCAGCAGUGACUUCGACUGUAUCAUCAAUCUUGGCUGCCACAAGGUUGGGUGUCCAGGCCCUCAGCUGACCCUUGAGGUGGGCCCCCACACAGAGCUUUGCUCUGCCCCCAGCCCACCCUCAUUCAUCGCCCAGACCACGGCCAGGGACCCAGCUCCUCAUGUCCCAUACCCUGCUCUCACCUCAUCACCAGUGCAACCACAGCACCGAGGCCUGCCUGGCGGGGGCUGUGGCUUGAUGCUUGGGAUUUCAUGAGAAGUCUCUCUCCUCCCGACUGACGUGGUUGCACAAGCCACAGUGUGCCUGGCCACCCCCACUGGGACCGCCUGCAGCUCGGCCAUUUCCCCCAGAGGCGCUCUGAUCUGCCCUCCUGCCUCCUCUCCUGUU